UUUAAAUACACGUCAAAAUAUUCUGCUUUAAAAGUGAAGAGCUCUCAAUCCCUAAAUUGCCAAUAAAUAAAAAGAGAACUACUUGGUUUGGCAGCCCACAGCAAUAUAAGCUAACAAUAUUGUCCCUAAAUUAUUAUUUUAACUAGGCAAAAUAUAUAAAUAAUCCCUUUAAAUUGUUCACCACGAUCGAUUGAACAACACUUCUAUUUGACAUAGGUAUUUCGUGAACAACAAGCCUCGCUGAUGACAUGUCAAACUGAUAAAUUAUCGAGUGACACAUGUAUCUCUUAAACAAAUUAUAGUUUAUAUUAAGAAAUAGUUAUAAUUUUUAAUUAAUAAAAGAAGAAAAAACCCUUCUUUUCCUCCUCCCAACCAAAAUCAUUACUUAAGCCAAGUAAAACAACAAAAAAAGAGGGCUAAAAGGCAAAAUCUGACAGUACGUUGCAGCAAAGGUUCCGCUGGAAGUCACAAUUUCUGUACCCCAAACAUGCACUCAGGUUUUUCUUCUAUUUCCCAUUUUCAUUAUUCCAGUAACUUCCGCCGGCAGCCAUGACUCCAGUUUCAUCAAAGCUUUACACAGAUGAUGUAAGCCUAUUGAUGGUUCUGAUCUAUACAAAUCCGUGCUUUUGGAGCUCCAUGAAGAAUAUUGCCUUCACAUUCGAAGGGGAAAGAUGGAGAAAGUUUGGGGCAGAGGACGGCACAAGAUGUGGAGGAGAAAUUGGAGAAGGAGGAGGUUUAAAAAUUAGGAGGGGUCCAUAUUGAUUUUAGGAAGAAAAAAAAAAAGAUAAAUUUAAUUUUAAAGAUCUUUACACGAUUAGAUCUGAGUAUAACGUACAAGAUUUGUCAUUUAAAAGAAUAUAUUUCUGCCAAGCAAAGCAAAGGUGUUUGUCUGGUCAUGUCAAGUUAAGAUAUUCAGUUAAUCAUUAUGGACAGAGACUGUUUAUGUAUUUUGCCUUUUAGCUAUAAAGUAGCUAAACUCCUCUAUUUCAUGCUUCUCUGUUUUGAUGC